GUGAAUCAUCGAAUUUUUGAACGCACAUUGCACUCUCCUCGGAGAGUAUGCCUGUUUGAGGGUCAGUUUAUAAAAAUCGACAUCUUUGCUGUUUAGCGGUGUUGUUCGUCGAAAUUUGGCUCAUCUUAAAUCCUUUUGUUUUCAGCGACUUAAAGUUUCCUUUUGGUUCAAUGACCGUUUCUUAUAUCUAUUUCUUUAUACGUUUAAGGUAUCGAUUUUUACUAUACGUGACCAUCAUAUCGGA
rnacentral:misc_RNA from 1 species